GACGAACGCUGGCGGCGUGCCUAAUACAUGCAAGUAGAACGCAGUUGCGAACGGGUGAGUAACGCGUAGAUUACUCCCUGGUAGCGGGGCCUAACUAUUGGAAACGAACUCUAAUACCGCAUACUACCCGGUUGACCUGCGUUGUAUUAGCUAGUUGGGUGGGUAACGGGUCACCAAGGCAACGACACAUAGCCGACCUGAGAGGGUGAUCGGCCACACUGGGACUGGAGAACGGCCCAGACUCCUACGGGAGGCAGCAGUAGGGAAUCUUCGGCAAUGGACGGAAGUCUGACCGAGGAACGCCGGGGGAGUGAAGAAGGUUUUCGGAUCGUAAAGCUCUGUUGUAAGAGAAGCGGUAUCUUACCAGAAAGGGACGGCUAACUACGUGCCAGCAGCCGCGGUAAUAC
rnacentral:rRNA from 1 species